CCAUCAUAAGUGAAAACAUGCAUCAGAUUAUUGAAAAGUCUUGAAGCUGAAAUCCCCCCCCCCUUCUGUUACACAGGUUCAUUAUAGGAGGAUGCAACCUGUGUGGUAAAGACAGAGACUGCUCCCUCCAUUGGGUAAGGUUGUCCUUUCCUCCUGAAUCCUCACUAUUCUGGAAUUAAACCUCCCUCUUUCUUUGGACUGACAAGUCCAUUGUAUUUCAGCUGUCUGUCACAGCCUGAUCAUUAUAAAUACAGGAUCAACAUGGCAGACUGAUUGACAGGUCCAGUUGUUUGGCAGUUUCAGAUUAAGAUGUUCUCUGUUCCAGGAACAUUUGAGUCAUUUAGUAUAAUGUUCUUAUCCAGAGUGACUCACAGUCAGUGUAUUGAACUAAGCUAGGCUACCACAGUCAUUGUAUUAAACUAAGCUAGGCUACCACAUAUCACAGUCAGUGUAUUAAACUAAGCUAGGCUACCACAUAUCACAGUCAUUGUAUUGAACUAAGCUAGGCUAGGCUAUCACAGUCAGUUGUAUUAAACUAAGCUAGGCUACCACAUAUCACAGUCAGUGUAUUAAACUAAG
ensembl:lncRNA